AUGGCCAUGUCGAAACCUGCCCUGGACCCUGGAAGGGAGGUUUCAUCCUCCCUGUGCUGGGGGCUGUCCUGGCUCUGCUGUUCCUCCUGCUGGUGCUGCUUUUGUUGGUGAGAAAGAAGCGGAAGAUCAAGGAGCCCCUCCUACUCCCAGAAGAUGACACCCGUGACAACGUCUUCUACUAUGGCGAAGAGGGGGGUGGCGAAGAGGACCAGGACUAUGACAUCACCCAGCUCCACCGAGGUCUGGAGGCCAGGCCGGAGGUGGUUCUCCGCAAUGACGUGGCACCAACCAUCAUCCCGACACCCAUGUACCGUCCUCGGCCAGCCAACCCAGAUGAAAUCGGCAACUUUAUAAUUGAGGUGAGGCGUGGCAGGCCAGUCGAGGGCCACCCUUUAUUCAAGCCCAGCACCAGCCACACAGGAGAACAAGCAUGGGCCUGGAGUCUUGGGUCUGGGUUCAAAUUCUGACUCCACCACCAACCAGCUUUUGACCUCUGGCUUAUUUGAGUAACUUCUGGGGUUUGUUUCUUCCUCCAUAGAACUCACUUGCAGAGUGGUUAAAAAUGAUUAG
rnacentral:lncRNA from 10 species